rnacentral:rRNA from 1 species
AGGAGAGUUUGAUCCUGGCUCAGGAUGAACGCUGUGCGGCGUGCCUAACAGAUGCAAGUCGAACGAAGCGUCCCGCCCGAAGAGAAGGAGUGCUUGCACAAAUUUAAUUCAAUUGGGGCGACUUAGUGGCGGACGGGUGAGUAACGCGUGGGUAACCUGCCUUAUACAGGGGGAUAACAGUUAGAAAUGACUGCUAAUACCGCAUAAGCGCACAGAAUCGCAUGAUACAGUGUGAAAAGCCGAGACGGUAUAAGAUGGACCCGCGUCUGAUUAGCCAGUUGGCAGGGUAACGGCCUACCAAAGCGACGAUCAGUAGCCGGCCUGAGAGGGUGAACGGCCACAUUGGGACUGAGACACGGCCCAAACUCCUACGGGAGGCAGCAGUGGGGGAUAUUGCACAAUGGGGGAAACCCUGAUGCAGCGACGCCGCGUGAGCGAAGAAGUAUUUCGGUAUGUAAAGCUCUAUCAGCAGGGAAGAAAAUGACGGUACCUGACUAAGAAGCUCCGGCUAAAUACGUGCCAGCAGCCGCGGUAAUACGUAUGGAGCAAGCGUUAUCCGGAUUUACUGGGUGUAAAGGGAGCGUAGACGGUUUGCCAAGUCUGAUGUGAAAGGUGAGGGCUCAACCCUUAAACUGCAUUGGAAACUGGUAGACUAGAGUGUCGGAGAGGUAAGUGGAAUUCCUAGUGUAGCGGUGAAAUGCGUAGAUAUUAGGAGGAACACCAGCGGCGAAGGCGGCUUACUGGACGAUAACUGACGUUGAGGCUCGAAAGCGUGGGGAGCAAACAGGAUUAGAUACCCUGGUAGUCCCCU